UACGUAGGGUGCGAGCGUUGUCCGGAAUUAUUGGGCGUAAAGGGCUCGUAGGCGGUUUGUCGCGUCGGGAGUGAAAACUCCAGCUGACUUGGAUGUGCGUUGCUUUCGAUACGGGCAGACUUGAGGUAUGCAGGGGAGAAGUGAAUUCCUGGUGUAGCGGUGAAAUGCGCAGAUAUCAGGAGGAACACCAGUGGCGAAGG
rnacentral:rRNA from 1 species